ensembl:lncRNA
UGCUACGUCCCCUCCUCCAUGUCUAGAGAGGUCCUGACUUGCUUUCCUUAACCCAUGAAUCUGCUGCCUAACCUCCAUCCUUCCAGCUGCAAAGUCAGCUCCUCCUCUGUGCAGGGAGUGGGAGCAUCACGGAAGACAAAACCCAAUCAGAGCUUCCUCCAGGGAGGUGACUAAGGUCACUUGCACCUGAUCCUGCCUCCAAAAAAGAGAUUCCCUCCCCCACUUAUACGUGUGAUGUCUCUCCAGGAGCAAAGCCUCCCUCCCAUUCUCCCUUCAUCCUUUUCUCUACUGGCUGAGUCCCUCCUCCUCUCCCCCUGAAAAACGGGAAGUCCCUCCGACAGUCUAACUUCCAUCCCUCCAGCUGCAACAUCAUCCUGUAGAUCGCGAGCGCUCCCUGCCCGCCCCUUCUGCCUUCCCUCCCUCCCUCCCUACUCCAAGUCUUCGGCUUCUCAUCCCCAGGACGAUGUCCUACUUCGCUCGUCCUUGCUCUCGCGGCUGCCGCCGCCGGGAACCGAUGCAGAGAAGGCAGCGGGUCGCGUGAUCUUCCCGAGCCCCCCGCGUUCCCAGCCUGGGGGCAGGGGCGGCUUCGAGGAAGGGCGGGGCGGGGGCGGGGGGAAAGAAAGGGGGUUUUGUGUGGCGCCCAGCGGCCCGGCGCCCUCUUCCGAGCGUCUUGCGGGCCCAGCCUCUCCUCGCGCCCGCGCAGUCCCCGCCGCAGUCUCGGUUGCAGCUGCAGGACCGAGCCGUGGACCCAGAAGAGACCCCCAGAGGAGGGGGCAAACUUCGCGGUGCCUCACCCCCACCCCGGUCCUCAGUUGCCUGCCGGUAGUCCCUCCCUCAUCCUGCAGCAUGGCCCCACUGUUCCUGCCCCUCCUGGCAACCCUGGUUCUGGCCUGGUACUUGACUUGGUUUCACUGGGGACUCAGUUUCAACCCUAUCCCUCUCUGAGCCCUUUCUCAAUGUCCCACCCCACCCAUCCAUUAUGAGAGUGUAAUAAGUGCCUUGAGAUCUUCAGAGGAAUAGUCUGAGUUCUCAGAGCUUCUGAUGGCCAAGGGCAGAUGGGAAAUGGUCCCUCUCAUUUAUUCUCACACAUCCCCCUUAGCCUGGUGCUGGAGUUGGGGGAGGAAGAGGCUGGAUGGAGUCCAGACUAGCAGAGACAGGGGCUUUGUCCCAGCUGGUUUCUGAGCCAGGAGAUCCGGUGGGAAAGCCCGUGCCAGGCAGAAAGGAAAGGCUGGGAAGGAGGGAGAAGGCAGCCAAGGAGGAGGGGGUGGAGGAUGCUGGGGGCUAAAGAGAAGAGUUUCCUUAUAAGUAAUGGUGCAGUGUAGAGGGGGGAGGUCAAGGAGGGGUUAGACUGGAGAGAGCUGUACAUUGCCUGGGUUUAGUCUAGGAAGUCUUCCUGGAGGAAGCUAGGGAGGAAGGUAUAGGGAGGAAAAGUUGGAUAGGUAUUGUGGGAGGAGGAGGGUCCAAACAAGUCUGGCCCUGGGAGGACAGAGGGGACUCUAAGCAUAAUAGCAUCUACCAUUAUGCUAUAUGCCAUAAGCACUUGUUGAGCUCUUACUGUAUGCAGGGUUUAUUUGUUUCUGUUGUUUUUCUUUUUUGAUGGAAUGCACUCUCAAAGCACAUAGCCUCAUCACAACCUGUGAAGUGGUAGUAAUGGUGCUCCUUUACAAGUAAGAAAAUAAAGGCUUAAUGAGAGAAUAAAGAACUUGCCUGAAGUCACAUGGUGAGCUGACAGCACCCAGGUCUUGGUUCUGAAUAAGAAUCCCCUGGGGGGAGACAGGGAUCAGAAGGAGUGUUAAUAAAUAAUGAGGUGGGGACAGUGGGCUCCUGGAGUCAGGAUAUGUAUGAUCCAUGUGGAUCCGGUGGGGAGUCAGAAGUCCAUCCUGAGGUCUAA